GCCUGGGUGGCUCAGUGGUUGAGCUUCUGCCUUCGGCCCAGGACAGGAUCCCGGGGUCCUGGGAUCGAGUCCCAGAUCAGGCU
rnacentral:tRNA from 1 species